rfam:Paenibacillus sabinae T27, complete genome.
UCCAGUAAAAGGUAAACCUGCUGAAAAGCUGGGGCACAAAGUCUCGGGUCUAAGGUGAUCUUUAGAAGCUACGACGGCCGGACUGCCUGG